rnacentral:rRNA from 1 species
GGCCUCAAAUCAGGUAGGACUACCCGCUGAACUUAAGCAUAUCAAUAAGCGGAGGAAAAGAAACUAACAAGGAUUCCCCUAGUAACGGCGAGUGAAGCGGGAAGAGCUCAAAUUUGAAAUCUGGUGGACUUUGUUCAUCCGAGUUGUAAUCUAGAGAAGUGUUUUCCGUGCUGGCCAAUGUACAAGUCCCUUGGAACAGGGCGUCAUAGAGGGUGAGAAUCCCGUACUUGACAUUGAUCACCGGUGCUCUGUGAUACACUUUCAAAGAGUCGAGUUGUUUGGGAAUGCAGCUCAAAAUGGGUGGUAAAUUCCAUCUAAAGCUAAAUAUUGGCGAGAGACCGAUAGCGAACAAGUACCGUGAGGGAAAGAUGAAAAGCA